rnacentral:rRNA from 1 species
GCCGAUGACCAAAUCACCAAGAAUACGCCCACGCUUGUCAGGUCUUGGAAACCAAGCAGGUUUGAGCCUGGAUUAGUGCUUGAAUGGGUGAUCGCCAUGCACACACGGGAUGACAUUAGGG